ensembl:lncRNA
GUCCAUGUAUAUUAGCAUCUAUGAGCAGAGAGCUAAGUGAUGAAGGAGAAGAACAGAUGUGGAAGGGCUGACAGAUGACAUAAGGAACGGGAAAGAAGGAAAAAGAGGGCUAUUGAGUGACCAGAAUGGAGAAUUUAGGGAAGAAUAAGAACCAGUGACUUUGUGAAUAAAAGUGAAGAAGCCAAGACUCCUUUAUGGAUAGCCAUUCCCUUCUCCAGAAUAUUUACAUAUUCCCAGGAGGACAAUAUUGCAGGUUACUGAACUAAGUCAACAAAAUUUGGAGCAAGGGAUUCUAGAGGUGUGCUGAAGCCAGCCUGAACUUGUUGGUCAUGUGAAGAACAAACUUCAGCCCUUCUCCUCCUGGGAUGAUUUUAAGAGGGGACAAAUUGUGUGGCAGGAGAUAAUGAGGAAAAGACUGCUUUGUCAACUUUUAGAGAGUCAGUUACAAAGGAUCACCAGUAGGUAUUUAUGAUUCAAUCAGUGUUUCCCUAUGGGGCUCUGCUGUUCCAACUCUUGAUCCCACGGAGAUGGACGCUGCCUGCCUGGCAAGAGGACAGCUCAGACCGCCACCACAGAUGAGAUGUGCUCUUCUGUAAACGCACCUGACAUCACAGAAAGCCUCAGUGGCCAAGAUAACCUUUCCUCUAGAUUCACUUUCAUUCUACGGUUAAAAUGACUCCAGCUGAAGACGAGUAUUAAAAACAGACUCUGAAAAAUAAAGGCCUGGUAUCGACCUUCAAGCUUUCCACGGAGACAUCUGCGAAGGGGAAUUAACUAGGGGAGGCUUCCUGCUGUUGCAGGGCCUGCGUGGGUCGCUUUUUCCACUGCUAGUGUUUCUGUUGGCAGAGAGCACGCUGUUGGAGUGCACCCCCAUGGCCUUCAGUGGAGGCGGUGGGUCGUGAGGGACAGAGCCUUAUCAAAAGGGGCCAGAGGAUGGUUUUGUCUGCUGUGACCCCGGGGUGCCCUCUGGGAUCUGUGAACAGACCUGGGCUGCGGGAGGGCCCUCCGCCUGCCUUUGUUCGGCCUCGGCUCCAGUCUGCAGCAGCUGAUCUGGUUAUUAUGCUCCUGAAAAGAAUUUCUAGGUGGCCACAGUGACCAUAAGGAACCGAGAAACCACGAGGGCUGAAAGCCACGAAGAACAACACAUCGGCUGCUGAGUGCUAAUCCCGC